AUGUGCUUCUUGCUAAGAUCUGAAGACCCAAGGUUGCUAUUACUGCGCUCUGAGCGCCCUUAUCACCGUUUGAGAGAAGCUCCCCGAUCCAUUCAGUUCAGUCGCUCAGUCGUGUCCGACUCUUUGCGACCCCAUGAAUUGCAGCACACCAGGCCUCUCUGUCCAUCACCAACUCCCGGAGUUCACCCAAACUCAUGUCCAUGGAGUCGGUUAUGCCAUCUAGCCAUCUCAUCCUCUGUCGUCCCCUUCUCCUCCUGCCCCCAAUCCUUCCCAGCAUCAGAGUCUUUUCCAAUGAGACAACUCUUCGCAUGAGAUGGCCAAAGUAUUGGAGCUUCAGCUUUAGCAUCAGCCCUUCCAAUGAACACCCAGGACUGAUCUCCUUUAGAAUGGACUGGUUGGAUCUCCUUGUAGUGCAAGGGACUCUCCAACACCGUUAGACUGCUCCAAAACCUUCCGCAGUGACCAGGGAAGAAACCCAAUGCAGGCCUGCACCUUCCUUUGCCCAGAGGACGCCACACGGCGCUGGUGCUGGUGAACCAGCCCUGGCAGCCUUCCCACCGCCUUUACAUCUUUCUCUACCCCGGGACAUCCCUAGAACUUGAGUCGGUUUGUUUUGCUUGGUUCUUCAUUAAAGUUCUUUUGGCUUUGAGGCCUCAGAAUUAUAUGUAUGUAUAUAUAUUAUACGGAGAAGGCAAUGGCAACCCACUCCAGUACUCUUGCCUGGAAAAUCCCAUGGACGGGAGCCUGGUAGGCUACAGUCCAUGGGGUCGAGAAGAGUCGGACACGACUGAACGACUUCACUUUCACUUUUCACUUUCAUGCAUUGGAGAAGGAAAUGGCAACCCACUCCAGUGUUCCUGCCUGGAGAAUCCCAGGGAUAGCGGAGCCUGGUGGGCUGCAGUCUAUGGGCUCGCACAGAGUCGGACACGACUGAAGCGACUUAGCAGCAGCAGCAGCAACGGCUAGUAUGGCGCCCUCUGGUUCCCGAAAGAGGACGUGAAAGGGCUGGGAUCCUGUGGACAGAAUGGAAGUAGAAGAGAACAUAUCUGGUGGGGUCUCCAGGGAGCCGGGGUGGAAGAGCAGCCCACAUUUUCGGAGCACUGAAGCCAAGAUUGUAAGAGUAGAAGUAAAUGCUGCGGAGAAGGAGGCAAGAAGUAGGAUCCGUGAACAGUUGACAGGGUCCGAACCUUCUUGGAAGUUAGGCAGAAAGGUCUGGACACCAUCCUUGGCCUGGGAACCACUGCCAGAUGUCUGAGCACAAAUUUGGCUUGAAGGACUUGCUAUAUCGAGAUGACAGGUCAAGUAAGUGGAGCAGCACCACCAGGACUAGAUUUGUGCCAAGCACUGAACUGCACACUGUGCAUGACCAGAUGAAUAAGGCAAACCUCUUUCCUCAUAGGAAGGAGGACGAGGUCACAGCACAGUGCCCCAAGGGCAGUGACUGGGCACUGGGAUAAGGUGGAAAAAAGAAGUGGCACCUCAUCGAGCCUGAUUGUGGAGAUUGAUCAGGGGAGACUUUUGAUCAGGGGAGGCUUUCUGGAGGUGAGUCUUAGACUCUUAAAAAGACCAUGUGGAAAUUUGCCUGUGUUCUAUUAAACACCUUUGUUCUCUAACACCUUUGUUCAAUGUCCUGGGAAUACAGCAGAGAAAAAUAAACACAACAAUAAUGUUUUUAAAAUUAAAUGA
ensembl:lncRNA